CCAGAAUGCGACAGACAUCAUACUGGUUGCACCAAUGGUAAAUUGCACAUCCUGCAAGAUCGAUCGGUCGAACCAACAAUGAAAAUGGUCCGUUCCGUUGUCUAUAACCGCUCAAUUGAAAACCACCUGAAAAUCGCUGAACCGGCCGGGGUUCUUGAAGGGUGACUUUUUUUUAAAAUAAAAAUAAAAAAACCCAAAGGCUUCCUCCUUCGUGAAUGACACACUCAGAAUCAGAAGAAAGCUUAAAAAUCCUCCCAAACCAAAACCCUAGCUUCUUCAACGGCUCUGCCGCCGCCGUCCGUAGUUGUCGGCGCCUCUGCGGCUUCCUCCUUCCCCCUGUCUCGAACCCAUGCCCUCUCUUCUAGCUUGGCACCUCGUCCCCAUCCUCUCUGGCUUCUCUGUUCGAGGCUUGGAGCAGCUCGCCGUCGAAGAACCUUGCGUAACACACACACAGGUGUCAGCCAACCCUAAACCUCCCCACGGAUCUGCUCUGCCUCCUGCCACAUUCUGUUUCUGUUCUGCUUCCCUUCAGCCCUUCUGGCCUUGUUCUGCUUCUGGUAUGCGCUUGCAUCACAGCGUCUACCAGUCGCUGCUCUCCCUCAGUUCUGUUAAGGAUAUGUUAAUUAGCUUGAAGUUGCUGAUCUUUCAACGUGCAAAAACGGUAGGCUAUGCUGACCUGGCUAAGAAAUUCAACCUUAAGAUUAUUCGAGCCAUUGCUGUUGUUUUGAUGGAGCAUCUUAAGGAAGAGUUAAAAGAUUUAUUGCUUGUUGCAGAUACGGAUAAAUCUGCGUCUUUUUUGGAUGCUUGUAAACUAUUGAAAUGUUAUAAGGAGGGUACUACAACUAUUGAAGAGCUAAUUACAGACAUCGGUACUGAUAUACAAGCAUAUGUGAGGAGACCAUCAACGUACAAAAGAAAGGAGGAGAAAGAUGAAAGAAAAUAGUAAAAGAUUGAGGUGUUCUUGAUGACCUGAAACUUACAAGCUUACUUAUGGCAAAAGUUGAGUUCGACUUUUCUCAUUGGCGGAUGCACACUUUCUUUUUGUUCAUCGAGAUGGACAACAGAGUAGGGACCAUUAUGAGGACAGGUUGCUCAGAUUGUGACAUAGGCCAGGCUAGAUACCUUAUGGAUGGAUGAGUUUAAUUUAGGUUUACUUAUACAAUUAUUUAGUCCUAGUUCAUUGUAACAUUUCUUACGAGUUUUGAUUAUGUUUCUCGAAAUUUAAGCUUUGUCGGACAUCAUAUGACGGUCCCCAGCUCCAGGCAAUGUGUCACGACUGGUUGAGGAGUUGUCGGGAAGUUCAAACAUGGAGGGUAGUGGUGUAGUUAGUAUAAACGUAAUGCCGAACUAACAAUGUAUAGAAAGAGUAAUACAAAGAAUCGAGCACUAAAUGAAUGAAAAGGAUUAUUAUUAUUGCAUAUCAUCAGAAUACAAGUGCUAGUUUAUUUA